UACGGGGGGAGCAAGCGUUGUUCGGAUUUACUGGGCGUAAAGGGCGCGUAGGCGGUAGCACAAGUCAGUUGUGAAAUCUCCGGGCUUAACUCGGAAAGGUCAACUGAUACUGUGCGACUAGAGUGCAGAAGGGGCAACUGGAAUUCCUGGUGUAGCGGUGAAAUGCGCAGAUAUCAGGAGGAACACCAAUGGCGAAGGCAGCACUCUGGGACGUGACUGACGCUGAGACGCGAAAGCGUGGGGAGCAAACAGG
rnacentral:rRNA from 1 species